rnacentral:rRNA from 1 species
GUCCACGCCGUAAACGAUGGGUACUAGGUGUAGGAGGUAUCGACCCCUUCUGUGCCGUCGUUAACACAAUAAGUACCCCGCCUGGGGAGUACGGUCGCAAGACUAAAACUCAAAGGAAUUGACGGGGCCCGCACAAGCAGCGGAGCAUGUGGUUUAAUUCGAAGCAACGCGAAGAACCUUACCUAGACUUGACAUCUCCUGAAUUACCCGUAAAUGGGGGAAGCUCUUCGUAGCAGGAAGACAGGUGGUGCAUGGUUGUCGU